rnacentral:rRNA from 1 species
UACGUAAAAGACUAGUGUUAUUCAUCUUUAGUAGGUUUAAAGGGUACCUAGACGGUAUAAUUAGUCUUAAACAAGAAAACGGUUAUGCUAGAGUUAUAUAUGAGAAGGGGAGUAUUUAUGGAGUAGAGUUGAAAUUCUUUGAUCCCAUAACGACUGGUAGCGGCGAAAGCAACCUUUUAUCUAAUAACUGACGUUGAGGGACGAAGGCUCGGGUCACGAACAGG